rnacentral:rRNA from 1 species
GGUAACUCCGGGUAGGAGGCCGCGUGAAUAGGUGGGGUGCGAGCGGGUUCCGGUGUUAUGGGGUUUAAAGGGUGCGGAUGUGGGCCUGUGAGGCAGUGGUGAAAUCUCAAAGCUUAACUGUGAAACUGCCGUUGGUACUGUAGGUCUGGAGUAAAUUUGAAGUGGGUGGAAUAAGGAGUGUAGCGGUGAAAUGCAUAGAUAUGACUUAGAACACCAAUUGCGAAGGCAGGUCACUAAGAUUUAACUGACGCUGAGGGACGAAAGCGUGGGGAGCGAACAGGAUUAGAUACCCCGGUAGUC